UCAGCAUGCUAAAAGAAAGCACCAUUCUCUGCAGGACCUACCCUGGCUGCAUGAACUAGAGUAUUAGAUGUCGAACUCUUAUGAAAGCUAUGCAGAUCUAGCUACAACCUCAAGAAAGCUAGAUAAUGCCCUUUUUAGCUUUAAUGCACCCCAAAAUAGCUCCUAGUUUCACAAGUUCAAUUCUGGUGCAUCAAAUGACAGAAUUGAUGAAGCUUGCACAACGUUAAAAGUACUGAUAUCACAAUAAAUAUAGACCACAGUGUCACAAAGCAAACCAAGUCAUGUCUGGCCAUAUAUGCUAAGUUACAAUGCAAACUAUCAAGAGGAUCUGGACCAUUUCAUGGCAUUUUCAUCGAGAAUAUUUUCCCUAAAAAUAAUAAUUUGCAAAAUUUUAAAUUAGCAAUACUCAAAUUUGCAUAAGGUUGCUCUAUAUGCAUAUUCUUAAAUUUGGGCCGGACCUAAUUCACCCCAAAAACUAGCUCAAGGGGAGGAUUGCCUAUGACCCAUAUAAGGGACACAUUACCCCCUUUCCACAACUGAUGUGGGAUUCAACACACCCCCUCACGCCCAGAAUUUUACUGGUGCGUGACAUAUUCAUGGGAGGCCCAACAUCGGAUGAGGAGGCUCUGAUACCAUAUUAAAUUUGGGCCAGAC
rnacentral:lncRNA from 1 species